GUGUGAAGCAAGAUGCACUCAAUGCUUGAAUUGUUUGUGUCCUGAUAUUCCACAGAGUACUCUAAGCUGCAUCACACUUAGGCAAUAAUACGCAGUUCUUUGGGGGGAAAGAGUGAGCAUAUAUUCCACACAACUUACUUGAGGGAGAGCUUCAUGAGGGCCUUGGCAGCACUGUUCAGAUCUACAAAGGACAGCGGAAAGAUCCCAAUGCGUGAACCAAGCUUCCCCUCAGCCCAGUUCUCAUCCACUCGCCGCAGCACUGUUAGAAUCUCGCCCUGAUGAAAGGGUUAAGCAAGAGGGUGACCUGCUAAGAGAGGACAGGUUACAGUGCUGGGGUAUACGAGAGAAAGGGAAGUGAGAGAAUCAAAGCAUACAAGUACAGAAUACAUGGACAAAAAUAAAUGGAAAGAGGAAAUGAGAUGUUGUAAAA